UUAUUGACAUCCACAGAUGUCACCAUGUUUCUUUCAUUAAACGGAAGAAAACAAUUUACUUCUAAAGCACAAUUUGAUCAAAGACAUGAACUGAAAUUUGUCCCAAAUGGAUCUAAAUCCGAUCUGAAAGUGGUCUGAACAGAACCUGGGAGAAAGAGAGAGCUUCUAUUUCCUUGCAGGGGACUGGAGGAGGAGGACACACACAACCACAACAACAACAACACACAACGCUCAGGAGUCUUGCAGAUUUAUGCAGAAAUGUUCCAUCCCACCAAGCCAUCUCUGAACCUGCAGUGGUAAGCGUCUCGCAGAUGUAUCCGAUGUGAGGUCCUGGGACUGGGAUGUCGUAUAUGUACAGAUUGUAAAGCCCUUUGAGGCAAAUUUGUAAUGUGUGAUGUUGGGCUAUAUAAAAUAAACUGAAUUGAAAUUGAAUUAAAGUAAGAGGAGGAAGGU